rnacentral:tRNA from 2 species
GCCUCCUUAGCUCAGUUGGUAGAGCAGCUGUUUUGUAAACAGCCGGUCGCGGGUUCGAAUCCUGUAGGAGGCU